GUGCUGAGAUUUGAUGUCCCAUGCAUUCCUUUGGCGGCAUUUGUUCCUCUGACCUUUAUACUCGUUUGGCUCAUCGAGCGCUCUUGUAAAAAUGCAUGUGUUUUCUCACACACAAAUGCCAGGAACCACUUGAACUGCAUAUUUGAUUCCAGCUUUAAUGGGAGACAUUCCUAAUGGACAACAGUAAUACAGCCAAGCCAAAUUGGCCACGGUUUUAUGUUUACUAUGGCAGAAAGUAAGAACUUCAAAGCUCCUUUGUAAGACUUGAAAAGAAGACAAGUUUCUCCUUCAUAUCAUCAAGCUUAAUUACUGUCAAUAAGCAACAGUUGGCAAGAACAGCACAUCACAUGUUUCCAGUUCUGUCUUGGGAAAGGUCAACACAAUUUUUUAUAUAUAUUAUGCAGCCAUGUACUCUGAUCACAUAACACGUUUUAGAAAGCAUUAUGCAAUAUUAUGCUGCUGAUUAACAAUUGCACAAGAAGUUUUUCAUUAGCUUGAAUGUUUGUAUCCUGGGAAUGAUUAACUUUGUGACAUAACUCACAUAAAUAUGGAAGGCUCAGACAACUUCAGACUCAUGUUUCAGGACUAGCCAAACACUUUUCACUUGGUAGUGUACGUGAUUAAAAACUGUUUUCAGCUUCAGAGGUGAAAAUAGGGUAACCCAUUUCAGGAAAGAGCAGAGAUGAUUUAUUUUUAGGGGUCAAAGUGACACACAUGCUUUAAAAAAAUAAUAAUGUUGAAAACAGCAUUUCCUUCGUUCUGCAAAUGUUAUCAAUUUUCUCCAACAACUCAGAUUUUUAUUGUUCUACUGCCAAACUUAGAAGUAAAAGUGGCUCAUACAUAUUCAGUGUCAAUAAUCACUUUUUAUAUCGGGACAAGUACGUACAAGCAUUGGUCAAAACUGGUCAAAGGCUGUGUGUUUGUUACUAGAUCUGGCCCUUGAUAAUGUGAAAGAAAAGCAAAAACUUUUGAAUACACUGAAGAACAGACCCUGCAUGCUCAAAAGUAUCUGAUUUUUAAAAAGAGCAAUUUGGUUGUUCUCAAUCAUAAGCUGAGCAAGAUUAAUUCAUUAAAUAAAUUACUCCUGAUUGGAAAUGGUAAGUUUGCUGAACUUUUGCCAGAAACCAGCUGACAUUUGCUAAAGUAUUGUGUUGGAAUGAACAAUACUCCUCCCCCUUUACAUGCCAUAGUGUAAAAUCAGAUUUCGGAAAAGUGUCAACACUGUCAGAAAAGUUUCUAUACUAUCAACAUGUUCUGAUAUGAGUACAGUUCCUGAAUGGUGCAGCAAUAAAAUUUCUAGCGCAUUUGCAAAGCUAAUCAGGUUCUGGUAUGGUUUCAACUUGAAUGGGGGACUGUGUGUUGAGAGUCGGUUGGACUAAAUGAGCCUUGGGGUCCCUUCCAACUCUUUGAUUCUGUGAAGUAGAAAUACUUCUGGCACCACUACUGAAGUCUCAUGUAAAAUAUUUUUAUACUGCAGAGCAAGUAGCUUCAAAUUUCAUAUAAUAGCAACAUGGAAUAGAAGAUAACAGUGUUUGAAUCUUGGGAAAAUACUGUAUCUAGAUUGUGCUGGUUAGCACAAUCUGUUAGCAGAGGAGGAAGCUACAUGCUUCUUAGCUGAUCACCCAAUUCGAUGGGCAUCCUUCACAUCUCUUCAGAAUACAGUACUGCUUUUAACCUAAAAGAGGUUGUUCUAUACACUUUCCAGCCCUGUGUUUGUCUGGUCUGGAAAAUGGUCUGCUGCAGCAACUCUCACUAGAAUGAGUAAUACAUAGUCAUGUGGGUUGUCCAUCGGAAUUAGUGCAGCCGUUUGUGAAAAGGUAAACGACUUGAGUAAGAGCUGCAGGAUCUGACCUCCAUAUUCUGCUGGGAGAGGCGGUUUAGGAAUGUUACCAUAUUACCUCAUGUGUUCCAUUCCGCAGGAUCAGCUCAGCCAAAAGCAAAUAAAAAGCUAAACAUUGACUUGGAGUGUGUUCUCGGGAACUUGAGCAAUGUCUUUUCCUCCAUUCCAGUGUAGUAACAGCAGCGAGUGGAAAGGAAGGAGAUUCUGUUACCGCAAUCGUAUCAGUGCUCCUUAUUUGCCUUGAAUCUACGUGCGGAGCCAGCUAGGCUUUCAGCUGCGAUGACGAAAUGUCAUGCCUUUCUUCCUGGAAUAGUAUGCAGAUAAGAGGCCACUGGCUAUGUUGAGGUUUCAGAUGAACUCCUCUCAGGGUUUCAAAACAGCGUGUCACAAUUUGAUCAGGUUUCUUUAGCAACCGGUUCAUUACGUUUUGUCUUCAGGACAAAAGGAGAGGAGAGAAGGAGCAGUUUGUGUGCUCAUUCCUUUGUGGUUUUGCGGUUGUCGGCUCGCAGGAUGUGACUGUGGAGACUUUAAACAUUUACAUAAUCUCAACACUGAAUUACCGGCUCUUGGGAAUCACAAGUGAAGAGAGUGCUGUUGUGUUCAGGUACCGCUUAUGGGCUUCUGUUGUUGUUGUUGUUUAGUCAUUGAGUCGUGUCCGACUCUUCGUGACCCCAUGGACCAGAGCACACCAGGCACUCCUGUCUUCCACUGCCUCCCGCAGUUUAUAGUCAAACUCAUGCUGGUAGCUUCGAGAACACUAUCCAACCAUCUCGUCCUCUGUCGUCCCCUUUUCCUUGUGCCCUCCAUCUUUCCCAACAUCAGGGUCUUUUCCAGGGAGUCUUCUCUUCUCAUGAGGUGGCCAAAGUAUUGGAGCCUCAGCUUCAGGAUCUGUCCUUCCAGUGAGCACUCAGGGCUGAUUUUCUUAAGAAUGGAUAGGUUUGAUCUUCUUGCAGUCCAUGGGACUCUCAAGAGUCUCCUCCAGCACCAUAAUUCAAAAGCAUCAAUUCUUCGGCGAUCAGCCUUCUUGAUGGUCCAGCUCUCACUUCCAUACAUCACUACUGGGAAAAUACAUCUCUACUGGGCUUCUGGCUGGCCGUUAUUAGAAGAGGGUGCUUCUAAUAUAAUGGAUAUUUGGCCCGAUGCAACAGGUCUCUUACGUUCACAGUGUUGUUGCAAUAAUCCAACAAUUCUGUUUCUGUCCAUUGAAUCCAUAUUGAAAUAACACCCCUAUUGUAUGAUAAUUGUUAAAAAGAAGUGGAUUUUGCAUUUGAGAUUUUUCCGUAGGCUUUUGGAACUUUCAUGUCAUAUGAUAUGCAACAGCUCUCCAUGGUCUGUUCUCCAAGGUCCUUUCAGUGUUCUUUCACACAGCUUAUAGGCUCUCCCACUUCAUUCUCUCAAGUCAAGUGCAAUGCGUUUCUUCGGAGAUUAUUCCAUUUGCAGUUGAGAGUCAUCAAGAGAUAAAUGUACUACUGAUGGUUUAGUUACAUCCCACCUUUCAUCUGAGGAGCUCAAGGCGGUGAACACUGUUCCCCGCCCCCUCCUCAUUUUACCCUCAAAACAACUCUGUGAUGUAGGUUGGGCUGAGAGACAGUGGCUGACAAAAGGUCACUGCCCAGAACUUCAUGGUUGAGUUGGUAUUCAAAUCUGGGUCUUCCUUGCUCAGCACACUAACCAGUGCAACACACUGGCUCCCCACUUGUGUUCGUGCAGCGAGCAUCAGAAUCGCUGCCUCCUCAAAGGGGCUUUGAGAUGUUUUGGAGUUUGCUGUAUAGCACAAAUGCAAAUCUGAAUUAUGUGGACAGUUGAUUGGAAAUAUUUACAAAGAGAGCAUAAAUCAAGAAGCAAAAGAAAGCCAAGUAUUAGUUUUCCAGUUAUCCUAUGAAAUGGGUACUGUUGGUGGAUGCUGUCUUCUACAAGUUUGUGUAUAAACGCCCAUCCAUUUCUGUAGCGAUCAAACAAGAAACAUUUCCAGUAGAUUUGACCCAAAGGCUUUUUUUGCCUGUAUGCCGCUUUCGUUAGUAAAUUUUGGUAGUAAAGACAGUGUUAUUGGCUGCGACAGUAGGAGCUCCCUUUUGGAUUCCCGAAGAAAUGUGGGUAUAGGAAUUAGUAUGUGGAUGCAGACUCAGUCCUUAAAGAUAGUAAGUUCCUAACCUGUCGGGAAGCAACACCAUUUAGGGCUUCUAAAGCAUGCAUAAGAUAAGAGAUGGAGGAAAAUGUAGACCUGAAUGAUAUUUAGGACCUCUCCUUGUAGGCAGCAAUUCCAUUGUCAUUAAACGUCAGUCCUCUCAGUCUUUACUCCAAAACUCAACAGGAUUUCAGAUCUUUUUUUUUAUUUUAAUGAUAUUUAUUAAAAGUUUAAGAAUUACAGAAAAAAGAGGGGGGGGGAAACAGCAAAAAAUUUGACAAAACAUACAUUACAAUACAUAAAAAGAAAAGCAUAAAAAACAAUACAACAAUACAGCAAAAAAAACCAAAAAAACAAUAACAUUAACAAUAACAUUAAAACACACAUCCAAUGUUCCAUAUCUUUAUCUUUCAUUUACUUGUUUCAUCGACCUCCUCACACCUCCCUUUUUGUAUUCUAAUUUAAUUAAUUGUUUCAGCAAAUUCUUUCCAUCUUUCUCAAUUUUUUUAUAUAAUUUAUCUUAACGAUCUAACCUUUUAAUUAACUCAACAAAUCCUUUCCAUCUUUCACUAUAUUCUGUCAUUCAAUUUACCUUAAUUUAUUUAACCUUAUCUUACCAUAAAAAAAAACCUUAAACCUUAAAACUUAAUACUUAUUUGUACAUAACUCCUUAUAUCAUUUCUACUAAAGCCAAAUAGUUUCAUUCCAACAAUUUUCCUAAUACUCGUUAAUUUUACACUAAUUCUCAAAAUAAUUUUUUUAAAAACUUUCUUCCAAUCUUCAUCCAACGUCUCUUCUUCCUGGUCUCGGGUUUUGUCAGUCCUUCUUGUCCAUUCCAUCUAGUCCAUCAACCUGGUGAUCUUAUGUCCGAGGCUCUUAAGUCUUUUCCAUGUCCCUUCUGCAGAUCUUCUUCUUGUUUAUACCUGCACUUUACUUUGUCUUUUGUUGAUCUUUUUCUUAAUUUCUUUCCUUUCUCAUUGGGGGGUAGGUCUCGGGAGGACUCCAAUCCAAAAAUAUCUCCAUCUCCCCUCAGCAGAUCAGCCCAUUCCCCACAGUCCCAUUCCCCACAGUCAACACUGUAAUCCAGGAAGUAUUUAAAAGCAUGUUUCAAAGUCCUUCCAAAAUUAAGAGCCCUCACAACUCCAGACCCCCCCUGGUCCACUCCAGAUUCAAACUUCAAGAACAGCGGCUUAUGCUCCUGCAAGGCCUCAGAUCUCUCCAUUUGUGUUACUUGAGGUUCAACAGCAACCUCCUCCAUUAUCUUCUGCACUUGCGCUUGCCCUGUCAAAACAAGUUCCUGGGCUGGUUCCUGAAUGGUUUCUAUAUGGGUAUUCGCCGUUUGUCCAAAGUUUUUAACUGCAACAGUCAUCAAAUCCAUCUUCUCAUGCAUCUGCUCCAGCAAAGCGCUUGUCUUGCAAAAAGCAAGCACCAAAACUUCUUCUAAACACAUUUUUAUUCAAGGUCAGAGUCUGGUCUCACGAUCCUAAUCUUACAGCUGUGAAAUCCCCAGAUCGACUCCGGCAACAAAUUAACAAGCUCCCUCUAGAGGAGACAAUUUCUAUUUGUAUCCAUCUUUUGAAAGCAGGACCAACAAAAGAAAAUUACUUUCAUUUUUCAAAUAUUUUGUUUCUUUUAAAUGCAAGAAGCAACAUUGGAGUCAAUUUGUUUCUCUUUUUUUUACUAUCUGUCAAAAGACGUUCCAUUCACAGUCGAUGAACUUCCCCAUAAAUUUCUGUCUCUGACACCCCGAUCCCAGGUUUGAGACGGUGGAAAUUUAUCUUUCUUUACUCUCUCUCCUGCAGGCUUAAACAGUCAAAAAUUCCCCCCCUUUUCUCCUGCUUCCAAGAGGGGUUUUGGUGGUAAUAACUGAAGGAAAUUUAGACCUUUAUAUACGACUUUCCAGACUUUAGCUUACAAAGUUUUUGCUUCAAUUUAUUUACAAAAAUGGGAGGCGGACUUCCUGUUUAGAGCCUUCCCGCUUCAGUGCCAAAUUAAAAUGUUUCUUAAUCCAAUUUUCCGUUCUACUCACGGGUACUUGUUUAGAGUCCAAUUGUCCACAGGAAAAGGUCAGCGCUCUCCGGCAACGGCUGUGCGGCUUCACUCCGUAAAAGUAGCGGUUGAUUCAAAACACCGCGCCACUCACCCCACGUCGCUUCGGAUCCCCGAAAAAGGGUUUCCCUGCGAGUAGGGGAGGCGCUCCUGGUGUCAGCCGAAUCCCACGUUCCCAGGCUUCCUCCGCCUGGGAUUUUUAGAGGGUCUCCGCCUUCGCCGCGGCAGCAAGACCCGAUUUUCAUGGAGCGGGUUCCUCUCGGUCAGAGGAACUCCGCCAUUGCCGAUGGCACUAACCCGGAAGUCCCAGGAUUUCAGAUCUUAAUGACCUUGCAGUUGAUAUUUUCGGAUGACCUAUAGAAGUUGAGUACGUUGCGACUUACUGGUGAGGAAAGAUACUUAUCAGUCUUUUAUUGCUCUUCAGUGUAUGGAGUCCAUUCUUCUGAGCAUGAUUUUAUGAGUAGAAGCAGAUGGUAAUUAGAAAACAAAACCCGAAACACCCCCUCGUUACUAUUUUUGUCUCAUUAUUUAAAAGAAUAAAAAAAAGUUGGAAGUUACUGUACUCUGCAAAACCCCACUGUCAGCACAUUUCUUUCUUGAGUUGAAAACAAAUCUGUCAGCAAUUUAUGUUUUCUAUGAGUACUUGUGUUUUCUUUCUUUAGAUAGUUUCUUUAAAUAAAGUGCCUUUGUAAUGGAGUCCAUUUUUAAGCGUUAAGCGUCAACAAAUUGCCAUCUGUCUUGUAAAGGCUCUCUGUCAUCUUGAUGAGGUCAGCACUCUGGUUAAUGUCGAGGAGCAGCGACGUGAAUUAGACUUCAAAGUCUGAAUGGCCUGAAACCGACAUCCUGAAGAUGGAUGCAACAGAUUUUCAGGCAUGCAGCUAUGAAAGCCGAAGCAAAGUAAAUUGUAGACCUUUGAAAAUCCUUUACACCCUCUUUUGGUAAAAGUGUUGAGCAGUUCUCAGAGUGUUUGAUGACAAAUUCAGCGGAUUAUCUAUUAGGUACCUAAAUGGACGUGUUAUAUUAAGGCAGGGGUCUGCAUGGCCUGGAUCACUCCCGUGGAGAUCCUCCGUGGGCCAGACUGAAGCAGCACGACACUGAAAAGUGUGUCUGCGCGUGCCCAGACACCAAAAAUCGUGCCUGCACAGAAGCAAUUUUCAGUGCCACGGACAUGCUCAGAUGCAAUUUCCGACAUCUGGGCAUGUGCAGAAGCGAUUUCCGGAGCUGUGGAAGAGAGUUGCUGCGCUGCACCGGUUUAGCACAGCGCGUGGGGUGACUCAGUUUGGGGGCAGCUCAUGGGCCGGUUAAGCAGCCCUCAUGGGCUGCUUCUGGCCCAUGGGCCUUAGGUUGCCGACCUCUCUCUUAAAGGAUGUGUCCCCUUUGCCAUCUUAUGUGGGCUGACUUGCCUUCUUAAGUGGUAGUGGUGGCAGAUUAUCAGGUCAGCUGGUUGGCCAUCAAUUCUUCCUGUGCUGAUUUCUUCCAGGUCAAUGCUUCAUCAUAACUGGUGACAAAGCUGACCAACGAGGAGAAAGUUGGCUAGUAUUUCCAUCUGACCUAAUUAUCUGGAUCCCAGGCAAAUGGAGGAACCAACAAAGCCUGAGCUACCCUUCCACCACAUAUCAUCAUGCUGUAUCUCACAGUGCCACCUGUCUAUGGUCAAACUAACUGCAGCGUGACGACAUUCUUAUGUUUUUAUUACAUGUAAAGAUAAG